UUUGCAGAUGCUGGUUAGGGUUCAUAAUAAAAAAAUAUUCAGGAUUAAGUUUGUGUAUUUUACUUCAGAAUUUUUUUUAUCAAAACUUUUCUUUUUUCAAUCAGUCAUGACACUGUUACACUGUGAACUCAGAAUUUUUUUAAUUUUGUAUUUGUACAGAAAAAAUGAUGCUAUCAUAGUACUAUAUAGAACUUGGUGUAAUGCAUUCUGAUUACAUGUUCAGCAUUUCCAGAAUUAGUGUUGGUUUACACUAAUAUUUACAAUAAUUAAUACGCAAAUGAUAAUCCAAGUUAACAGAAGUUUGGAAAAUAUUCUGGGAAAACUAUAAAAUGAGGUUCAAAUAAGAAAAUAACCACAGCUAGCUAAUCAAAUUUUUUUUUAUCAAAGGAAAGGGAUUCACAACUUUAAAGUUAGUUGAAAAUAAUUUGAAGUGUAUUGUAUACUUGCAUUUUAGAACUAUCAAAUCAAACUGUAGGUAAACUAAAUCCAUAAAAGUUAUAAAAGUACUUAUUUGUUGUAUAUAGCCAUUAUCAUAAUGCCCAAAUUUGAAUCAAAGAAAUGUUCAAUUGAAAUCCAUUUUGUUCUCUACUGAUUGCUUAUGUACAUGUAUAUAUGUAAGUUGAGAAGAUAUGAAAUUUCAUCAUGUUAAAAAUGUUUAUUAAAGAAAAUAUGAAACCAGCUUUGUGUAUGUUAAUGUUGAUUGUAUUGACUUUAGAUACUUAUUUGUGCUGAUCAAAAGGUAGGCAAGCACUCUCUUCACUUCUGGAUCUGCCACUGAUCUUGUAAAACUUUUAUUAAAACAUUGGAUGAGUUUGAGAAUCAGAAAGUUAGAUAUUAG
rnacentral:lncRNA from 1 species